rnacentral:lncRNA from 1 species
UCUAGCUUUUGAUGCAUGACUUGGAUAGUCAAAGCCAUCUCCUUUAGUUGUUCAUUCUGCUCCAGGUAGGGGUCAGCCAUCACACAUUGCAAAUUGCCUGGUGGACGACGAGGUAGAUACUUUUGUUUGUCAUUCUUCCUCUCUUCGUAGUGCUUUCCAUGAUAUGCCAGAAGAGCUUGAUGGGCAGCAUCAGAUAUGCUAGCAUGCUUACU